UACGGGGGGGUAAGCGUUGUUCGGAAUUACUGGGCGUAAAGGGCUCGUAGGCGGCCAACUAAGUCAGACGUGAAAUCCCUCAGCUUAACUGGGGAACUGCGUCUGAUACUGGAUGGCUUGGAUUUGGGAGAGGGAUGCGGAAUUCCAGGUGUAGCGGUGAAAUGCGUAGAUAUCUGGAGGAACACCGGUGGCGAAGGCGGCAUCCUGGACCAACAUUGACGCUGAGGAGCGAAAGCCAGGGGAGCAAACGGG
rnacentral:rRNA from 1 species